rnacentral:lncRNA from 1 species
CAGGCUGGGUCACGUACCUAAACUUGUGACCAGGGGUCUCUAGUUUUAGAAAUGGAAACCCCUUUCACAACCACGAUGUUGGAGAGGGAAGCAGCUACCUCAAAAGAAGGGAAUGAACGGUUGAGACCAGACAAUAUAAUAAGUGGCCACUCUCUGGUAGAGAAAGACUUUGGAGGAAACCCAUCAGGCAUCCAGAACCCACAGCUCUGCCAUCAGAACUCCAUCCUGGGAACAGAAGCCGUCUAUCUGCAUCUGUAAAUCCACGGGAACCUUCUCAGUGCAGUGGUAAUACAGAGUAUAAAGUAGCCCUCCUUACUCUUAAGAGGAAAUUUUGCCUCUUCACCUUUCCAAAAGAAAUGACGAGAAAUCAUUACUUCCUGUGUUAAGCAAAUGCCUCGAAAUCAUCUCAGAGUUCCCCCGUGAGUGAUCCUAGUUUUGAAGAGACUAUUCUCAACCCACCUGUCAAUUAUGUCAGUGUAAAGGCAUCCAGAACAUCUGUCCUGAAUUUUCCCGGACUGCACCUGGACUUCAAAAUGAUGGAAGGUGGUGAUCUAACUGUGCAGAAAACAUUGUGAAACAGGCCACAUUCUCAAACUGGUUUGAGAAACUUUUAGAAUAAAAUGUGUCUGGCUAGGUUUAUUCAGCCUUAGUUAUUACUCUUUGUGUAUACACAAGGAUUUCAAACCAUCAAUAAAUGACUGCAAGUGGUUUCUAGUCAUAUCCAACCAACAAAAAGUCUUCCCUUAUGUGUCAAAAGCAAGCAAACCUCAAAUUGGUAAGUUUUCUUUUCCUGGAGAGAUUCUGUGGAAUAUGAU